AUUGCUCUAACUAUUGAAACAAGCCUGAAUUUCUGGAAUAAGCCCAAUGUGAUAUUUAUUCAACAAAUAUUCAUUGAGUAUACCUAGUAUGUAACAUACUUUAAGAAUACACCAGUGAACCAAACAGAAAUAUCUGACAUUACAGAACUAAACAUUCCAGUAUUUGGAGACAGACGAUAAAAAAGUGAACAUGUAUAUUUACAGUUUGUCAAGGAAUGAUAAAUGAAGACUCUUAAAGUAGAUGGGGAAUUGGGAGUGAAGUCUGUAAUUUAAAUAGGGUGGGCAGGAAAGCUUCACAGAGAAUGGGACAUUUAAGAAUAGACUUGAAGGACAGGCAAGAGCAAUCUCUAUGUUUAUAUGGGAGAAAAGGUUCCAGGCAGAUGCAGUAACAAUGGCAAAUAUCCUGAAGUAGGAUCAUGCUGGAGUUUUUGUGGAGCAGCAAGGAGGCUAGUGUGACUGCCACAGAAUCACCCAAGGGAAGAUGAGAAGAUCAGACCAGACCAGCACUUGGGCAUCUAAUGGGAAAAGUUUCUCAAGCCAUCAUAAAAAUUUCACUUUUACUAUAAAUACUAUGAGAAACCAUGGGAUGUUUUACAGUAAGAAAGGUGGCAUAAUAUGUUACAUGUUUUAAACAAACUCUAUAGCUUCUGAGUUGAAAUAGAUUGUAGGGGCUCAUGGCAGAAGCAGAGGGAACAUUUAGGAGACUACUGUAAAGAAUAUCAUGAAAAGAACAAACAACGCUAUGUAACAUGCUUAAAUGGACUGAAGAAGAUGUAUAAAAUCAAAAUGUUACCUUCACACCUUGAAUCAGUACGAUAAACCCCCCUCCCCAAUCACAAAAGAAAAACUAAACACAAAAACCAGGCUUUGGUUGCUCCGACAAUUUUACAGGUGAGUUCUAGCAAACAUGCAAAGAACGUUUAAUUGCACUGUUACAGAAAUUCUUCUGGAGACAAGAAAAUAAGACACAUCACCCAACCAAUUUCAUGAUAACAAUGUCAAUGUAUAAUAACAGAAAAAGUGGAUCUCCAAAGAAAUAAAUUUAUUUGGAAAUAAACAAGGAUUAUAAUCUGAGAUAUUUGUGCUAUGAUCAAUGAUCGGUGCAUCCCAAGAGGUUGAGGUAAGGAAAAUAUGUAAAGACAAAAAGAAGUCUAUGCAAGCUGUUUUGAAACAAACAUCAUUGGUCACAGGGCCUGAUGCAGGAGCUGGUGUUAACUUAAGCACGAAGUUGGAGAAACAAAACGCAAACUAAACAACAACAAUGAAACAGAACAGAGUUAAUCUGCUGUAGCUCAAGAGAGGACGUACCUGCCCCCACCCCGCAUCCCUGGGCUCGGGUUUGCCUUGCUGACCUCUGCUGCCACCUGGUGCCACACAGAGAAACUGAGGAGAAACCACAUCAGUCUCCUUCAGCCUCAGCUUCACAUCUGUGGGUCAAGUAACCCUUUCAGAAGCUGAAUAAUGUGGGAAAGCUUUCCUCUCAGGAAAAUGCACACAUCCAGCUUUGAGAAGAUGCCCUUGGGGGCGCUUCAAGGAUCCUAGAUAAAGAACCCCCUUUCCCGAACAUCCAAGAACCUAAGUUUUUUUUGUUUUUUUUUGAGAAAGUCUCGCUCUCUCUCCCAGUCUGGAAUGCAGUGGCAUGAUCUUGGCUCACUGCAAGCUACACCUCCCAGGUUCACGCCAUUCUCCUGCCUCAGCCUCCCAAGUAGCUGGGGCUACAGGCACCUACCACCACACCCGGCUAAUUUUUUUGUAUUUUUAGUAGAGACGGGGUUUCACCGUGUUAGCCAGGAUCGUCUUGAUCUCCUGACCUUGUGAUCCACCCACCUCGGCCUCCCAAAUUGCUGGGAUUACAGGUGUGAGCCACCGCACCUGGUCCAAGAACCCAAGUUUUAGAUCUAGAGUGAUGUCAGCAUGACAUUGAUUUCCUGAGGCCCAGGUGUGAAGGAGCUGAGGACAGCAGAGGGGUGAAGGAACUCAGCUACAGACAGCAGCAGCUGAUGCACAGGCCUCCCAGCGCCUGAAGUCACCUGGAAUUGGGAAGUGCUCAGAAGCUUACAAAGCUGCCUCGAGGAACAGUAAGAGGACCUUGUGCAUGAAUAAUUUGUUUCCACACUGCAGACAGAAGAAUCCCAGACUUCUUAGAGAACCCAGUGACUUUUUGCACCUUAAAUCUGUGAAAUCCUCAUGCUUUCUUCUGCCGUAUCCAUAGUUCAAACAAACAUGAGGCAAAGCUAGACACAUUCCUGAAGGAACCCAAGAAAUUCCUCUCUUUCUGUCUCUGGAAUGAAAUGAAUUCUCUAGACCACCAGUUCUAACCUUCAAAAACCAAACCUGUUUGUGAGAUCUCCUUCAAAUACUACUGUAGACCCCAGUGUUUAUUCAUUAAAUUUUUUAAAUAUUUGUUUUAUUUGGAAUCAAAGUAUUUGUAAUUUUAGUAUUUGUAUUAAUAUAAGGGAGAAAUGUUUAAAUCUGUCUAUGCCAUAUGUGCCUCUGGCUUAUUGCCCAAUUAAUUGUAGCCUCAGGCUAAACUUUGGUUUCCGUCUUUAAUUUUUGUCGGAAGAAAUAUAACUGGUCUCAAAACA